rnacentral:rRNA from 1 species
UCCCUACGGGGGGCAGCAGUCGGGAAUAUUGCGCAAUGGAGGAAACUCUGACGCAGUGACGCCGCGUGCAGGAAGAAGGUUUUCGGAUUGCAAACUGCUUUAGACAGGGAAGAAACAAGACAGUACCUGUAGAAUAAGCUCCGGCUAACUACGUGCCAGCAGCCGCGGUAAUACGUAGGGAGCAAGCGUUAUCCGGAUUUAUUGGGUGUAAAGGGAGCGUAGACGGCAGGGCAAGUCUGGAGUGAAAGCCCGGGGCCCAACCCCGGGACUGCUUUGGAAACUGCCAUGCUGGAGUGCUGGAGAGG